AAUAGAGGCCCCAAGAGGUAAAGAAGGGAGAGAUCCUCUCUCUCUGUCCUUGUUAGACCUCUAAACAAUAAUCAUUUUGUACCUGACUCAGGAAGCUUUCCCACUCAGCACUGUGGGCCUGGGGCUGCCCCAGCCUUGACUUUGAUUCUGAAGCAGACCCACCUCUGGGUUCACCCCCAUUCCCACCCCACACUCACUCUCAGUGGAAUCAUCCACAGCCUAUAAAGAUGCUUUUUUUUUUUCUAUCAGCAGGUGAAGUCUGGAGCAGGACUCUAAGGCUUUCUGUCCUCCAUGCCGCUCGCCAGAAAAGGGGCUGUGAACUGUGCUUUGGCUCCAGCUGACAGGAAGAAUUUCUGGCCCAGCUGGAAGUGAGAACGGGGGGAGCCAGUCUCCCGAGGACCAUCCCAGAGGCCGCCGGGAUCACCAGAACAGUAAGAGAAGCUUUUCCAUCCUUUAACACGUAGUUAAGUUCCCCAGGCAGAUUAUCU
rnacentral:lncRNA from 1 species